GGAGAGAUGGCCGAGUUGGUCGAUGGCGCACGACUCGAAAUCGUGUAGGCGCGCAAGCGUCUCGUGGGUUCGAAUCCCACUCUCUCCG
rnacentral:tRNA from 1 species